GGGAAAUCUUACCGGGUCCGGACAUAUCGAGGAUUGACAGACAGUUAUACAUGCCCUACAAGUAGGAGUCAGGUUUUAAACCUAAUGGCUCUUUCAUGAUUAUAUGAUAGGUGGUGCAUGGCCGUUCUUAGUUCGUGGAGUGAUCUGUCUGCUUAAUUGCGUUUCAAAAUUUAACUUGAGGACCGGGUUUUGGUUUGGCUAGUGGUUCUACGAUGACUGUGAACUGUCAUGUCUUCGGAUGUGCGACUAUUGGUCUAGGAUCACAUGACUUGCCCCUGGGACUCUUUUGAACGCAACGGACGUGAUUGCAACCCCUUGUUGAGAUUAGAGAUAGUCUCGAUAUUCACUGGACAAACUGGCUGCUUUAUGCAGUCUUGUUGAAUGGUGGAUAAACUCGGGGGACUGCUGACUAUAACCAUUUCUCAAAACAGAGGAAGGUUGCGGCAAUAACAGGUCUGUGAUGCCCUCAGAUGUCCCGGGCUGCACACGUGCUACAAUGAGUGGCGCAAUGUGCUAAUGUUUAAGGGAUAAGAGUGUGGUCAGUAGAACGUCGGGAUUUCCCCUGACGUCUCCCCCGCACGAUUAUCAGCCUUCCCUUAACAGGGCGGGCAACCUUUUCAAAAUACUGGUUUGAUGUUAAAGUAUUGAGUCGUUUUUUUUGGAUGGUGGUUUGUUAACCAAUACCAUCCGGCAACUGCUCGCGAGUUUGUGGUUCUGGCGACUCAUGGUGGGGACCGACGUUUGUAAUUUUUUGUC
rnacentral:rRNA from 1 species